CCUGCGCUUGUCAGGGCCCUUGGGCUGCGUCGCCAGACGGGGGCGUCCCCGCGCCUUGGGGUUGUGUUCUGCUGAGGCAGCCCGGGAUGCCGCCCCUGGCGUUGGGGCCGGCCGUUGGUCAAUCCCUGACAUGGCUCUCGUGUCAGUCAGGGGCUAGGCCCCGCCCCAUAAGCUGAGUAGGAAUCCACUGUACUCAGAUCUUCUAAUUUCUGGAAACUUACUCCUUAUCAUGAGUCUUCCUCAUCUUAAGAAUGAACAUUCAGUAAACAAGUUGAAGUUAGAGGAAUUAAAACAUCUACAUCAAAAUAAUAACAGGGCCAAACUUAAGAAAACCCACACAACGGGUAUCUAAGGCCUCAAUCCUGCAUGUGGCUCUGCAUGCGUGAAGCCCUUCUGAAGUCAGCAGCACUUUGCCUGGACACACAAGUUCAUCUAUAUGGAAAAAAGUGCAAGGCUAAAGAGCUGAGUAGCAAAUGGUGCAUUUGGAGGCAGCUUAAAACAAAGUGAGAUGAUGCCUACUGACAAUACUUCAGGUACUAUGAUCGAAAAGGUAGACAGGGCUGAUGGCCCGUCAGCAAAGACAGUGGACUGUGAAAAGGCCUGACCUUCUUGUGGACUUCCAUAUUGUUACUGAUUUAUGGCCGCUGGGAUGCUACAGAGUCAAAACCUGGUCACCUGAUACUAACCUGCAUCUUGAACUGUUCCAUAGGAUGGUGGAGACAUAAAACAAAGGAUUCCCGCCUUAUGGAAAUUCAAUAUAAGGUGGGGAGGAAAGAAAUCAUGGCCUUUAGAUUGUUUCUCCUCCAGCUUCGCACCCCAAGAUACACUUGAAAAAAACUAGAAAUGUAAAGACUUGCACUGGGGGCGAGAGGGUGGCAGAGAACUGGACUCAGGCUAAAAAGAUACCUGGCCUAUGAAGGAUUCUACCUGAAAUAACAUUUAGGGUGAGGAAUUAUUAUUUGUAACCAGUUUCUUCAGUGAAUCUAGCUUAGUUUGCAUGCUUUGCAUUAUUUUCUUAGUAAUUUUCUUUGUUCUGUUUGCUACCUCUUUGAACACUUAAAAUACACCUUUGUAUAGUUCAUAAAUGUAUUCCUUGUUUAUAAUAUCACCCAGUUUAUAUAAUGUAGAGAUGGGGGCUGCAUGGUGGUGGCAGGAGCUGGGAUGACAGCAGGAGCUGUGGCCAUGCAGUGAUGGUUGGAGCUGGGGCAGAGCUUGUUUACACCUGUAGCAUCGUCCUCCCCACCAAAAUCUGAAAUGGCAUCCCUGGAGCCAAAAAAACAG